AGGUACAUUCAGGAAGUAAUGCAUACACAUGUAACCUAUCCUAUAACUGUAGGUACAUUCAGGAAGUAAUGAAUACACAUGUAACCUAUCCUAUAACUAGGUACAUUCAGGAAGUAAUGCAUACACAUGUAACCUAUCCUAUAACUAGGUACAUUCAGGAAGUAAUGCAUACACAUGUAACCUAUCCUAUAACUAGGUACAUUCAGGAAGUAAUGCAUACACAUGUAACCUAUCCUAUAACUGUAGGUACAUUCAGGAAGUAAUGCAUACACAUGUAACCUAUCCUAUAACUAGGUACAUUCAGGAAGUAAUGCAUACACAUGUAACCUAUCCUAUAACUGUAGGUACAUUCAGGAAGUAAUGCAUACACAUGUAACCUAUCCUAUAACUAGGUACAUUCAGGAAGUAAUGCAUACACACGUAACCUAUCCUAUAACUAGGUACAUUCAGGAAGUAAUGCAUACACACGUAACCUAUCCUAUAACUGUAGGUACAUUCAGGAAGUAAUGCAUACACACGUAACCUAUCCUAUAACUGUAGGUACAUUCAGGAAGUAAUACAUACACAUGUAACCUAUCCUAUAACUAGGUACAUUCAGGAAGUAAUGCAUACACAUGUAACCUAUCCUAUAACUAGGUACAUUCAGGAAGUAAUGCAUACACAUGUAACCUAUCCUAUAACUAGGUACAUUCAGGAAGUAAUGCAUACACAUGUAACCUAUCCUAUAACUAGGUACAUUCAGGAAGUAAUGCAUACACACGUAACCUAUCCUAUA